rnacentral:rRNA from 1 species
AGUUCUCCCUGAGACUAUAAGUCUCCUGAAGGAACGUUGAAGACGACGACGUUGAUAGGCCGGGUGUGUAAGCGCAGCGAUGCGUUGAGCUAACCGGUACUAAUGAACCGUGAGGCUUAACCUUA